GGAAUCAAAACAAAAAAAUGGAGAUAACAUUGAUAUGGCCCAUUGAGAAUGAAUAAGACCAACCACUAAAAUUUUUGCCUGAUUAACGAUAUUUUUGGUGGGAUAUGGGUGGUGUUGGUGGGUUCGGGGUUCAAACAAUGAUGGUUUGGGCCUUUUCCGACGAUAGUACGAUGAAGGAGUGACCAACGAUGCUUUUCAAUUGAGAUUUCGAUGAUGGUUCGUCGGAAAAACUUCCCCUCGCUGAUUUUCUCACUCCUUCACUCUCUUUAUUUUGCCAUUUCUAAUUUUGAUAUCUUCUACUUUUUCUACC
rnacentral:lncRNA from 1 species